GUGCUUGUGAUGAUGAAAAAUCUUUCCCCAACUUAUCGAUAUAUGACGAUGUCAAAGCUGUGAAAUUGCCAGAAUUUUCUGAUGCAAGCAC